CCAGAGGGUAAGAGGCAGAGCUGAGACACUAUAGAGCCAGAGGGUAAGAGACAGAGCUGAGACACUAUAGAGGCAGAGGGUAAGAGACAGAGCUGAGACACUAUAGAGCCAGAGGGUAAGAGACAGAGCUGAGACACUAUAGAGCCAGAGGGUAAGAGACAGAGCUGAGACACUAUAGAGCCAGAGGGUAAGAGACGGAGCUGAGACACUAUAGAGCCAGAGGGUAAGAGACAGAGCUGAGACACUAUAGAGCCAGAGGGUAAGAGACGGAGCUGAGACACUAUAGAGGCAGAGGGUAGGAGACAGAGCU
ensembl:lncRNA